AUUGGACAAUGGGCGAAAGCCUGGUCCAGCCAUGCCGCGUCUGUGAAGAAGGUCUUCGGAUUCUAAAGCACUUUAAGUUGGGAGGAAGAGCAGUAACCUAAUACCUUCCUGUCUUGACGUUACCGCCACAAUAAGCACCGGCUAACUCUGUGCCAGCAGCCGCGGUAAUACAGAGGGUGCAAGCGUUAAUCGGAAUUACUGGGCGUAAAGCGCGCGUAGGUGGUUCGUUAAGUUGGAUGCGAAAGCCCCGGGCGCAACCUGGGAACUGCAUCCAAAACUGGCGAGCUAGAGUACGGUAGAGGGUGGUGGAAUUUCCUGUGUAGCGGUGAAAUGCGUAGAUAUAGGAAGGAACACCAGUGGCGAAGGCGACCACCUGGACUGAUACCGACACUGAGGUGCGAAAGCGUGGGGAGCAAACAGG
rnacentral:rRNA from 1 species